AUUGAACGCUGGCGGCAGGCCUAACACAUGCAAGUCGAACGAGUGGCGGACGGGUGAGUAAUGUCUGGGAAACUGCCCGAUGGCGGGGGAUAACUACUGGAAACAGUAGCUAAUACCGCAUACCAUCGGAUGUGCCCAAAUGGGAUUAGCUAGUUGGUGGGGUAACGGCUCACCAAGGCGACGAUCCCUAGCUGGUCUGAGAGGAUGACCGACCACACUGGGACUGAGCCACGGUCCAGACUCCUACGGGAGGCAGCAGUGGGGAAUAUUGCACAAUGGGCGCAAGCCUGAUGCAGCCAUGCCGCGUGUAUGAAGAAGGCCUUCGGGUUGUAAAGUACUUUCAGCUAGGAGGCGUUACUCGCAGAAUAAGCAACGGCUAACUCCGUGCCAGCAGCCGCGGUAAUUC
rnacentral:rRNA from 1 species